CAGAUCACUCUUUAAUUGCCUAUUCUGACGCCGAUUGGGCUGGUUUUCCAGAUGAUCGAAGAUCUAUGGUUAUUGCAUAUUCUAUGGUCAAAAUCUGAUCUCAUAGAGCUCUAGGAAGCAAUGAACUGUAUCCUGAUCUAGCGUCGAAGCUGAAUAUCGUGCUCUAGUUGCAACUACAGCCGAAAUUCAAUGGUUGUUAUUCCUCCUU
rnacentral:lncRNA from 1 species